CAGCAACAUGUUUUGUGUGCAUAUGCUUUAAAAAUACAACUAUGUUGUGAAUGUAGCUUAUUUCAUGUUUAUCUUUCAGCACAUAUUCAGCCAACGGAUGCUCUACGGAAGGAGAAGAAACCCAUGAUUAACACAGGAUGGAUGGGCUGUGUGACUUCUUGGGGUUGCGGAAUGUACUGGAGGAAACCAUACAGCAACUAGAAAAGGAUAAGAUUGAUCCCAAUGUCCUACUUGUCAUGACAGAUGCCCAGUUAACUACGUAUCUACCAUCCUAUGGGGACCGACUGGCUGUCCUUGGGUAUUGCAGACGGAAGGGAAAUUGUCCUGUUGCCCGCCAAUCUAAACUUUUUGAGCGACUGAAACCAAGAUAUCAAGAAGUGGGGAUCGUGAACAUUUGUCUGAGAAGCAGUGAUCUGGACUUCAUUGGCUUGAAGCUCAACCCAUUCACUCACUCAAAAAUGCUGAGGAAUCUUUUCCUUCGACAUUGAGGUCGUUCUUAUAGACCUCCCUUAGCUGUUGCUUCCAAAAUGGUGUCAGCGUCUUCAUCAAACUGGAGCCACUCCUCCUUGCAAGCUUGGGGCCACUUAACAGUGUUCUGUGGAUCUGUAUGGUUCCGGGGCAUGUGUCACCUGGAGGUUCUGAGCUCUGUGGGGGGGACUUCUGGUAUGGCUCCUCCUACGUCUCACUGCACAGAGGUAGUCCCUGUGUGUUGACACCUGCACCAUCUACAUUUCCUGCGGAUCUUCAGGCCAUGGGUUUUACACACCUUGCCAGUCAAUACUCUUUUCUUCUUUGAAUCAUUAUUGGUGAAAUGAUUGAACUACUACUGUGCUUUGUUCUAGCGAGUCUUGUACUGUGCUUUGUUCUAGUUUUGGGAUCUUCAAAAAGUGCCUAAAGACUCAUCUGUUUACCUUGUAUCUAACAGAGUCCUUACAGAGUUGUGGUUUGUAUAUGUUUAUGGUUAUUAUUCUGUUAAAUUUUAGUCUAUAUUACUAUUAUUUGUAUUCUUUUUUUAAUGUAGGGGUAUAUGAGUACAUUAAACUGUCAGUGCAAUGUUUAUUGAUGUCAAGGCCGUAGCCAUAGGAUCAACAUUCAACAUUCUAUUGUAUCUAUCUGGCAUUGAGGGAUGAAUAAAUUACAACCACAACUAAUAAUGAUUGUUUGAUUGUGACAGAAUUAAUUGAAUGAUGUUUUUUGUGACAGAAUUAAAUAAAUAAAUGAAA